CAGCCGCCGCGGUAAGACAGAGGGAGCUAGCGCUGUUCGGAAUUACUGGGCGUAAAGCGCACGUAGGCGGCUUUGUAAGUUAGAGGUGAAAGCCUGGAGCUCAACUCCAGAACUGCCUUUAAGACUGCAUCGCUUGAAUCCAGGAGAGGUGAGUGGAAUUCCGAGUGUAGAGGUGAAAUUCGUAGAUAUUCGGAAGAACACCAGUGACGAAGGCGGCUCACUGGACUGGUAUUGACGCUGAGGUGCGAAAGCGUGGGGAGCAAACAGGAUUAGGUACCCGCGUAGUCCCUGUCUCUUAUAC
rnacentral:rRNA from 1 species